rnacentral:rRNA from 1 species
UAAUAUUAGGUUCAUCUAUAUAUAUAUAAUAAAUUUAUUAAUAAUCAGAACCACUUUAAUGUGCAUGCAUAUAGAAGUAAAUUUUAGAAUACUUAUAGUUAAAAUGUAUUAUAUGCAGUAUAUUUAUAUAUAUAUAUAUCUAUUAAAUAAAUGCUUAUAUAUAUAUAAAUAAAUAUUAUACCCAUCGUUAAAGAAUUAUUUGUUAAAAAUUGAAGCAUAUCUAUUAAAUUUUAUUUUGUAUAUUAUGUCAGGUCAAGGUGUAGCUAAUAAUCAAGUAGAGAUGGAUUACAAUAAAAAUAUUUAUAUGGAUAAUAUUUUGAAUAAUUUAUUUGAAGGUGGAUUUGAUUGUAAAUUAAUAUAAAUUGAUUAAUUGAUUAGGGCUCUAGAAUGUGUACAUAUCGCCCGUCGCUCUCGUUAUUGAUUUGGGGAUAAGCUCGAAUUUUUAAUUUAAAUGUAAUUUAAUUGGUUAUAUUAAUAUGAGCCUUAAAUUAGCUAUUAUUUAUGAGUUUGUUAAUAAUUACUUAAUUUAUAAUUAUUUAUAAUUAUUUGUAUUAAAGUUGUAUUAAGAUAAUAAGAAUAAUUUAUUUCUUAUGUAAUAAUGAUGGAAUUAGUAAAUGAGUUGUUUAUAUUAUGUUGUUGAUUAUUUAUUUUAAGGAAUUAGGCAAAAUAAUUUUGUUCGCCUGUUUAUCAAAAACAUGUCUUCUUGAAUUAAUAUGAAGUCGUGCCUGCCCACUGAAGUAUUGAAUGGCCGCGGUAUAUUGACCGUGCAAAGGUAGCAUAAUCAUUAGUCUUUUAAUUGAAGGCUGGAAUGAAUGGUUUGACGAAACAAUAACUGUCUCGGUGUAAUUAAUUGAAUUUUAUUUUUAAGUCAAAAAGCUUAAAUAAUAACAGGGGACGAGAAGACCCUAUAGAUCUUAAUAUUAUUAUAUUAAAAUAUAUGUUUAGUAGUAUUUAAUAUAUUUUAUUAUAUAAUGUUUUGUUGGGGUGACAAGGGAAUAAUUUAACUUCUUUUUAUUUUACUAUGAUGAUUGGUUUAUUGAUCCUGUUAUUAUGGAAUAAAGAUAAAGAUACCUUAGGGAUAACAGCGUAAUAUUAUUGGAGAGUUCAUAUUGAUAAUAAGGAUUGCGACCUCGAUGUUGGAUUAAGAAAAUUAUUGGGUGCAGGAGCUCAAUAUAUUGGUCUGUUCGACCAUUAAAUUCUUACAUGAUCUGAGUUCAAACCGGUGUAAGCCAGGUUGGUUUCUAUCUCUGUUUAACAGAUGUAUUUUAGUACGAAAGGAUUAAAUACAUUAAAUAAUUUAUUUUUUUGGAAUUAUAUUAAU